rnacentral:rRNA from 1 species
GACGAACGCUGGCGGCGUGCUUAACACAUGCAAGUCGAACGGUGAAGCGCCUUCCUUUUUGGUGGGUGUGGAUGAGUGGCGAACGGGUGAGUAACACGUGAGUAACCUGCCCCCUUCUUCUGGAUAACCGCAUGAAAGUGUGGCUAAUACGGGAUAUUCUGGGUCUGUCGCAUGAUGGGUCUGGGAAAGAUAUUGUUUCGGUGGGGGAUGGGCUCGCGGCCUAUCAGCUUGUUGGUGGGGUGAUGGCCUACCAAGGCGGUGACGGGUAGCCGGCCUGAGAGGGUGGACGGUCACACUGGGACUGGGACACGGCCCAGACUCCUACGGGAGGCAGCAGUGGGGAAUAUUGCACAAUGGGCGCAAGCCUGAUGCAGCGACGCCGCGGGAGGGAUGGAGGCCUUCGGGUUGUGAACCUCUUUCGCCAGUGAAGCAGGCCUGCCUCGUUUGUGGGUGGGUUGACGGUAGCUGGAUAAGAAGCGCCGGCUAACUACGUG